rnacentral:lncRNA from 1 species
AUGUCAGCAGGUACCUUCCGGGCUUGGAUCCUGAGGCUUCCCUUCCCGGCCGCGCCGAGCUACCGAAACGGGCCUGAACCGAAAGGGCGAGAGCGGGCGCGGGAAAAACACCUUGCCGAGCAGAGAGCGGCUGGCCGGAGCGACGGUGGCGGCGAUCCUUGGGGACGGCGGCUCGGACGCCGGCUGAACCCAGGUCAGAGGUUUUCCCCAUGCAAACGGCCGCUUUUAUUAAAACCGCGCCGAUCCCCCCCUAAAUAUCCCCAAAUCCCCCUCUCAAGCCCUUUGGACGAGCAGUGUGAAAAACCCGCGAGCUUUGCUGCCGGUGCCCGGUUCCUCGCCGUUAAGCUGCUUGGCGCUAGCCCCGUUUACGCCGAGAGCGACCUAAUUAAGCCACGGUCGUUAGCUCGCGCUGGCGUUCGGCUAAAUCGUUUUCCGGAGAGACGCCCCGAUAAAAUCGCUGGUCCUUCAGCCGGUGCCGGUGAUGAAGGAGAAACCGUGUUAACGCCGUGUGUUUUUUGCGCCACCUUCUCCGCGUUAACGCGCCUCUCGCUUUGAGCCGGCCUUGAUCCGUAUAGUCCAAAGCGCCGAGUGGAGCGGCGCUGAUUUACUCCGGGGUGACCCCAGGCUCAAAUUCUCCCCCCAAACACCAAAAAAUCCCGAUUUCCUGUGGCGCAGGGCGGCCGUGGCGAGAUUUGGGACGAGGAGUGGGAACUCCUCGCUUGGCUAAUGCAAAAUCCUCCGAAAACAAGGGCACUUGGAUGUGCUUUUAUGUAAAAUAGGGAGUUUGAGGUUUUUUUUUCCUCUUCUUUAUCCAAAGGUGGGGGAAAAAAAGGUAAAAACCCGUUCAAAAAUGCACCGCUCCUCCCUGCUGAUGUGCUGCCGGGCUUUUUCUUCCCUUUGCACCUCGCUCCUUGCUGCCGGUUCGUGCUUGGGGCAUCUCUUGUGUGUGCACCCGUGCGUGCACCCGUGCGUGCACCCAUGCACCCAUACGUGCACCCGUGCGCGCACCCAUGUGCCCGUACGUGCACCCGUGCAUGCCGGCUCUCUGCGCACGACCUCGGCACCAUCCAAAACCUCCCAAACCGCCCCGUUUCCGCCGCCUUUGCCAGCGCUCGGCUGCCACCGCAGCUCCGGGAUCCGAGGCGGCCGGCGUGGCGCUCGGCCCCCUUUUCUGGGGGUAUUUUGCCCCUUUUCUUCAAGGCGGGGGGUGGAAACGCGUCUCGACAUUCGUCUUAUAGCAGCGAAGGGGGAUAAAAGCAGGGAGGAAAAGAAAAUAAAACUGUUUUAUUCCACCCGGCA